UACGUAGGUGGCAAGCGUUUGUCCGGAUUUACUGGGCGUAAAGGGAGCGUAGGCGGUCUUUUAAGUGGGGUGUGAAAUCCCUGGGCUUAACCCAGGAAUUGCAUUCCAUACUGGGAGACUAGAGUGCAGGAGAGGAAAGUGGAAUUCCAAGUGUAGCGGUGAAAUGCGUAGAGAUUUGGAGGAACACCAGUGGCGAAGGCGACUUUCUGGACUGUAACUGACGCUGAGGCUCGAGAGCGUGGGGGAGCAAACAGG
rnacentral:rRNA from 1 species